AUACGUAGGUGGCAAGCGUUGUCCGGAAUUACUGGGUGUAAAGGGAGCGCAGGCGGGACAGCAAGUUGGAUGUGAAAUACCGCAGCUCAACUGCGGAGCUGCAUCCAAAACUGUUGUUCUUGAGUGGAGUAGAGGUAGGCGGAAUUUCGAGGGUAGCGGUGAAAUGCGUAGAUAUUCGGAGGAACACCAGUGGCGAAGGCGGCCUACUGGGCUCUUACUGACGCUGAGGCUCGAAAGUGUGGGGAGCAAACAGGAUUAGAUACCCUGGUAGUCCACACUGUAAACGAUGAUUGCUAGGUGUGGGGGGUCUGACCCCUUCCGUGCCGGAGUUAACGCAAUAAGCAAUCCACCUGGGGAGUACGGCCGCAAGGUUGAAACUCAAAUGAAUUGGCGGGG
rnacentral:rRNA from 1 species